UACGUAGGGUGCAAGCGUUGUCCGGAAUUAUUGGGCGUAAAGAGCUCGUAGGCGGUUUGUCGCGUCGAAUGUGAAAACCCGGGGCUCAACCCCGGGCCUGCAUUCGAUACGGGCAGACUAGAGUUCGGUAGGGGAGUCUGGAAUUCCUGGUGUAGCGGUGAAAUGCGUAGAGAUCAUGAGGAAGACCAGUGGCGAAGGCGGGUCUCUGGACAGUUCCUGACACUGAGACACGAAGGCCAGGGGAGCAAACGGG
rnacentral:rRNA from 1 species